rnacentral:misc_RNA from 1 species
GAUGAAGAACGUAGCGAAAUGCGAUAAGUAAUGCGAAUUGCAGAAUCCGUGAAUCAUCGAAUCUUUGAACGCACAUUGCGCCCGCCGGUAUUCCGGCGGGCAUGCCUGUUCGAGCGUCAUUUCAACCAUCAAGCCCUGGGCUUGUGUUGGGGACCUGCGGCUGCCGCAGGCCCUGAAAUGCAGUGGCGGGCUCGCAAGACACACCGAGCGUAGUAGCUUACAACCUCGCUUUGGGAGUGCUGCGGGUGCUGGCCGUAAAGCGACCUUUUGCGUCUUUAGCACUAGGUUGACCUCGGGUCAGGUAGGAGGACCCGCUGAACUUAAGCAUAUCAAUAAGCGGAGGA